rnacentral:rRNA from 1 species
GAUGAACGCUGGCGGCGUGCCUAAUACAUGCAAGUCGAGCGAACGGACGAGAAGCUUGCUUCUCUGAUGUUAGCGGCGGACGGGUGAGUAACACGUGGAUAACCUACCUAUAAGACUGGGAUAACUUCGGGAAACCGGAGCUAAUACCGGAUAAUAUUUUGAACCGCAUGGUUCAAAAGUGAAAGACGGUCUUGCUGUCACUUAUAGAUGGAUCUGCGCUGCAUUAGCUAGUUGGUAAGGUAACGGCUUACCAAGGCAACGAUGCAUAGCCGACCUGAGAGGGUGAUCGGCCACACUGGAACUGAGACACGGUCCAGACUCCUACGGGAGGCAGCAGUAGGGAAUCUUCCGCAAUGGGCGAAGGCCUGACGGAGCAACGCCGCGUGAGUGAUGAAGGUCUUCGGAUCGUAAAACUCUGUUAUUAGGGAAGAACAUAUGUGUAAGUAACUGUGCACAUCUUGACGGUACCUAAUCAGAAAGCCACGGCUAACUACGUG